AUGGUAAACGCUGAUGAAAAACUGAUUGUUCUAAUAAAACAAUACAUGUGCGUUUCAGCUUCCGUGCAACUGCUUUUUGUUCAUCCAUGUGUUAUUUCUCUUUGCCACAGAGCAUCUUGCGACUCUCAAAUCACUUUCAUGGAAAAUAAUACAGAGGGAGCUGGCUUCAUCCUGCUCGGACUCACAGAUGACCCACAGCUGCAGGUCCCUCUAUUCAUAACCUUCACCUUCGUUUACCUCCUCACUCUGACUGGGAACCUGGGGAUGACCACGUUGAUCCUGCUGGACUCCCGUCUCCACAUCCCUAUGUACUUUUUCCUCAGUAACCUGUCUCUCGUGGACUCCUGUUACUCCUCCACCAUCACCCCAAAGGUGAUGGCUGGGCUCCUUAUAGGAGACAAGACCAUCUCCUACCAUGCGUGUGCCACUCAGAUGUUCUUUUUUGUAGCCUUUGCCACUGUGGAAAAUUACCUGUUGGCCUCAAUGACUUAUGACCGCUACGCAGCAGUGUGCAAACUCCUACAUUACACCACCACCUUGACCACAGGUGUGUGUGCACGUCUGGCCACAGGCUCUUGCAUCUUUGGUAUUUUGACUGCUGCUAUUGAUGUUGGGGACACAUUCUAUCUCUCUUUUUGUACGUCCAAUGUCGUCCAUCACUUUUUCUGUGAUAUUCCAGCAGUCAUGUCUCUGACUUGUUCAGAUAAAGACAUUAAUGAGCUGAUUGUUUUUCUUAUUUCAGGCUUUAAUAUCUUCUUUGCACUUCUUGUUAGUCUGAUUUCCUACUUGCUCAUAUUUAUCACCAUUUUGAAGUUGCAGUCAGGUAAAGGAUACCAGAAGGCUUUAUCCACCUGCGAGUCCCACCUUGUUGCAGUCUCCAUAUUUUACGGGACCGUCAUCUUCAUGUACUUACAGCCCAGUUCCAGCCACUCCAUGGACACAGACAAAAUUGCAUCUGUGUUCUAUACGAUGCUCAUCCCCAUGCUGAACCCCGUGGUCUAUAGCCUAAGGAACAGAGAAGUCAAGAGUGCAUUCAAGAAGGUUAUUGAGAAGGCAAAGUAUUCUCUAGGUUUAACCUUUUAA
rnacentral:lncRNA from 1 species